CUGCCUUUAUUUUCUCUCCUCCCUGACAUGAUGUCAACUCCCUAAGAUUCAAGACCUGGAAGCUGAAGUCUUAAAAAUGAAAAUCUCACAUCAAGAGACUAAAGCAAAACUAGAGAGAUGCAAAAAGGAUUAUUCUCAAGAAUAUAGAUUUACUACAAGUCCCUUUGUGGCGCCACUUCAUGACUAUGACUAUGAUAAUUAUUUGGGCCUUUCAGAAGGAAAUUCAAAAUAUUUUAUUGGAGAAAGAGACUUCAAUAAACGGCAGAGAAGUCUGCUUUGCAAAGGUAGUCAUUUAGA
rnacentral:lncRNA from 1 species